GGGACAAUCCAGCUGCUAUGUCAUGAGAGGACACUGCAGUCUUGCAGUGAGGUCCAUGUGGUAAGGAACUGAGAACUCCUGCCAGCAACCAGCUCUAUCUUCCCAAGUGUGUGUGUGAGCUACCUCGGAAGCAGAACCCCCAGCCCCUGUCAAGCCUUCAGAUGGCUAGAGGCCUGGCCAACAUCUUGCCCUACAGCUCAUGAUGUAUCCUGAGGCUGAGCCAUCUCUCCAGGCUGCUCCUGAGUUCCUGACCACAUAAAUUCCACUCACUAGGGGAAGCCAGCUACCAUACCGUAAGCCACUUCAGGGAGAGGCCCGUACGAUGUGACAAGGAACUGAGACCCAUAAUCCAAAGCCAUGAGAAGCUGAAACCUGUGACAGUCACAUGCUGUCCUGGAUACCAGGCACACAGGAUGACAGAACAUGGCCCCGCUCUUCUGUCCACUGGGAGUGACAAAUAACCCAGUCACUGUGAUACAUGAGUAAGAGAGCUGCAUACAAAGGCAGGAGUGACUAAUUCUAUCAGAGGGUCUAGGGGGGG